UUCAGAUUUGUUUUCCCCCUCUUUUUCUCCGUGGCCCCCACUCUCUUUCUUCCUUUUUGACUUUUCUCUAUAUCUCCUACCUAAACACAUGUUUGUGUUGAUUUUUGAGCAAAUUUGGUUGAAAAAUGCUCACAUCUCCUUCUUUUUCCAACUUUUCUUUCCUAUUUUUAUGUCAUCUCUCUCCCUAAUUUUCUACACAACACACGCACCACAUAUCUCAUUUUUCAGAUUUCAAGUUUCUCUCCCCUCACCUUUCUCUCCAUCAACGCGCACAUCCUACAUGCCCCUUCCCUUCUCUCUCUCUACAAUACAAAGCAAAGUAACAUACCUUUUUUUUUUUACUAAUUCAAAUCUACCCCAUGAAAUACUUGUACCAAUAGCACCGAACAACAAACCCAUUCAUUCAUUCAUUAAGUUAGUCAAUUAUUCUUUACAUUUCAUUUUAUAGAUCCCAAAGUGUGACAUACUUUUGCGUUUGUCAUAAAAAAUCCCGCCCCUCUCUGUUAACGAGUUGGGUAGGUAGGAAGAUCUUUCAGUGCUCAAUUUUAUACAUACACACUUUGUUUUAGCUGAUUUUGAAAAUAAUAUUGGAUAUGGAGAGUGAGAAGAAAUCGUGCGUAUAAGACGUAGAGGCAUGGCCGAUGAAGAAAUUUUCGUCGAUUUCCAAGGCUUUCCAUGUAUCCAGAGUUACUUCUCGAAGAUGACACUCAAAAGAAGUUCAAAUAACUUCUCAAAUUCUUUGUUUAUAUUUUUUUUUACAUCCUUAAAAUUAUACAAAGCAUAAAAUAUAAUGAAACUUUACUUUUUUUAGGGUGCAGGUUGGUAGUAUUUAUUUAUGAUCUGCUUAUAUGAUUUAAAUUUUUAUGUGUUUUAGAAAAACUAAUAUUAGGCAGUUAUUACUUCAUUUCAAAGCUAAACUUUUCUUCUAUUCUUUAUUUAUAUCACAUCAUUCACAAUGUUGUGCUAUAUCUGUUAAUAUUCUCGACAUUUUUUGGUUAACUUAAAUCAUCUUUUUUGAAAUAAUUUCUUGAAUAUUUGUGAACAUCCCUUAAACUCGUUAUAGCUUUUGAAAACGAAAAUCAUUAUGUUCGGUCAUAUUCGUUCAUUGUUAAGUAAAUACCUUUACGAUAUAUUCAUGUAAAGCUAAAAUUGUUAGUCACUGUAAUUGUAUACUUUGUUCACUUGUAAAUAAUCAUGUAAUAUGUAUUUUAUACAUAUGUAAAUACUUACACCUUUCACUACAUGAAUAUUCAUAUUAGUUAUUCUUUAGUCUAAAUUCUAUUAAUAUUUUUGUAAAUAAUAAUCAAGCCUUUUACACAUCCCUCGUAUAGUUAAAUUGGUCCAGCCGGGAACCACAUUUGUGGAUUCUGAAGGAUGCCUAACACCUUCACUUCGGAAUAAUUUGAACACUUACCUAGAAUCUCGUUUUUUUUCGUAGACCAUGUUAAGCUGCAUAUAUUAAUAAUUUAUAGGUACCCUAGUAUACCUUAAAUGCUAGGUGGCGACUCUGUACAUAAUUAAUCAUUUUAGAGUUCCAUAAGUUGUGCUUUGUUAAGCCUUGGUAAAAAUAAGGUGCAACACGGGAGAAAUCCCUGAGUGUGUCCUAGUCCAGCAACAAAGUGAGUUGAACACUUACGCGGAUUUUCUAAACCAAAAGCCCUUUUUAUAAGGGGACUUUUUGCCGAAUUGUUUCUUGAAAUUAUUAUAUGAAUGAAAAAAUGACAUUUUUGUGCGGAAAACUAAACACUUUUAAGCAAAUAGGUACAUUAAUCACACAUUGAAGCUUGUAGGUCAACCGUAUUCUACGGAUCUUUAAUACUAGGGUGCGUAAAACCUUCCCUAGAGGAUCACCAGAACCCUUACCUCGAACUUUGGUCCAAAAGAUUUUUUAUUUUGAAAAAAAUAAUCUUUAAACCCGGUUUUCCUAGUUUUCCAUAAAUAAAUUAGGUGGCGACUCUAAAAAUAUUAGAAUCCAAUUAGAGCACCAACAACCUCGUAGUAAAUUUUAUGCCUUAAUCCGCGUAAAAGCGAACCGUAACACAAGGUAUUCUUGAAAGUGUCGCCGAUGAAGGGAGUAAUGCGGUUUGGUAGGAAGGGUAAGCUUAGCCGUCAUUUUAUUGGCCCUUAUGAAAUCGAGAGAAGAGUUGGGAAGGUGGCUUACGAGUUGAGGUUACCAUCUAAGAUGGCUAUGGUGCAUCCUGUGUUUCACAUUUUGAUAUUGAGGUUGUAUAAACCGGAUCUCUCUCAUGUCUUGACUAAUGAAGAGAUUGAAAUCAAUGAAGGGUUGUUUUAUGAAGAAGAACCUAUGCAAAUCUUAUAUUGACAAGUUAAAAGGUUGAGAACAAAAGAUGUAGCUUCGGUUAAAGUCCUAUGGUGAAAUCAUAAUACCGAAGAAGCGACUUGGGAAGCAGACGAGGACAUGAAGACGAGAUACCCUCACUUAUUCCCGCACCCAAACAUGGUACGCUGCUUUAUACUGUAUACAAAUAGUCCCUCCAAUUCCCAGUGGAAAUCAUUGACUCCGGGGAAUGGAUUUGAACCAAAAAUGAAAUCGAUCCAUUGUAGCAACACUGAAGGUCCAGCUCCGCCGCCUGAAAAGACAUUUUCAGUUCUGCACUCUGUACAAUGUGGAUUACUCAUUAUUAUACCACUGUAGCAAUCAGCUUUGGAAACCGUUUGCUAUCAGAACUUUAAACCCUUCAACUUAUAA